CUUGGAGCGGGCUCAAGAGAAAAGAAAAGAAACCCAAGCCCAUGAAGAGGGGGAGCCCGCGGUUGUAUUAGGGUCUUGAAGGGGGGAAAAGUUUCUUUUCCAUUCAGUUCUGAAACAGAAACCCUUGCACUCCUUACGUAAAGAAAACAGAAGAGAAAAGAGUGAGAGAACCACCCCUUGCACCCUUAGCCGCCGCCGACAAAGCCACCACCGCCACCUUGUGCACGCGUGAGAGAGAGAGGGAGACCUGCGAGAGAGAGAGCUCAACUAGGAGGGAAGAGAGGGUCUUGGACAGCAGCUUUUGAUCCCUUAUUCAUCACCCAACUUCUGAUUUCUUCACUCUUAAUCAAGAUGGUCGUGAAGAUAAUGGCGAUGACUCAUUCUUGGGAGUUGAUGCUACGUGACGUGCCAAUACCGGGGGACGACUACACUUCAGAGGAAGAGGAAGAGGCUAAGGAAUAGGGUUUGGGUUGAGAGUCUUUUGUUUUCUGUUGGGGUUGAGAGUUUCCGAAGUGUUGGUAUCGAACAAUUUUAUUGCUUAAAUUCGAAUGAACAAGUUUUGAUGUAAUCUUUAUUUUCAUUUAGGCCUUUGAUUCGUACUCUUUACAGUUGGUUAUUUAAAAAGUUUUACGAUGUUGGUUA